UGAGGUCAGGAGCCAGAGCUAACAGCGGAAGCUGAAAGGCUCUGAAACGAGACAUGGGUGUCUUCAUCUCUAGGCUAAUUGCCUGUUCCCUUUCAUUCAAUUACUAACUGCUAAGUAUUGACCACAUGCUCAACCCUGAGAUGGCAGAUCAGCCACAGCAGCUCUUUGAUGAAGCUUUCUCCACUGUUAAUCACUUAUCCAAUCUCCAUAAAUAACUUCUCUGAACCAAACUCUAGUCUGAACUUGUUCAAUCCAUUAUUGAUGGUCAUUCUGGGAGUCUCAUCAUCGACAGGAAUUACCAUGACAAGCACCAUCCUUUCCAGGGAAUACUUGCCAUCUGUUAGUUUAAUCACAAAACUGUCCUCCCGUGUCUCAGAGUCAU